UGGUAGACACCGAUUCCUCUUAGCCUCCUC
rnacentral:piRNA from 1 species